rnacentral:lncRNA from 10 species
UGAACCGGGAAAAGAGGCCUCACCAGAAAUGGAAUCUGCCAGCGCCCUGGUAUUGGACUUCUUAGCCUCCAGAACUAAAUUCCUGGAGUCACCAGAAGCUGAAAGAGAUAAGAAAUGGAUUCUCGCCUAGAGCCUCAGGAGGGGACACAGCCUUGCAUACAUCUUGAGCUUGGACUUCUGGCCUCCAGAAAUAAGCAUGAGAGGCAGCUAAGUCAAGUGAGGGCGAUGGCUGGGCUGGAAGCACUGGUGCCUUUCCCUGACAACAGGAGGCCACAAAAGCCAUUUCAUCAUCAUCAUCCACCCAAACAUCAAACAUAAAUGGAUAAGGCUGCAUAUCGAUAAGUAUCAAAUAACCUGUAAGGAAUAUUAAAGCAUAAUCAACUA